UUAAUGACUCUCGGCAACGGAUAUCUCGGCUCUCGCAUCGAUGAAGAACGUAGCGAAAUGCGAUACUUGGUGUGAAUUGCAGAAUCCCGUGAACCAUCGAGUUUUUGAACGCAAGUUGCGCCCGAAGCCAUUUGGUUGAGGGCACGUCUGCCUGGGCGUCACGC
rnacentral:rRNA from 1 species